rnacentral:sRNA from 1 species
GGUCUAGAGUUUCACCGCCUAUCUUCGG